GAGUGUGUGGUGUAGUGGUUUGAGCAUUGGAUUAUGACUCUGGAGACCAGGGUUCGAUUCCCAGCUCGGCCA
rnacentral:tRNA from 1 species